rnacentral:rRNA from 1 species
CGGAGGAUGCGAGCGUUAUCCGGAUUUAUUGGGUUUAAAGGGUGCGUAGGUGGGAAAUUAAGUCAAGCCUGUGAAAGUUUGCGGCUCAACCGUAAAAUUGCAAUUGAUACUGAUUUUCUUGAGUUUGUUCGAGGUGGGCGGAAUUCGUGGUGUAGCGGUGAAAUGCUUAGAUAUCACGAAGAACUCCGAUUGCGUAGGCAGCCCACUAGACCACGACUGACACUGAGGCACGAAAGUGUGGGUAUCAAACAG